rnacentral:lncRNA from 1 species
AAAGUGAAUAACCUCAGCAUGUAAACUUAACUUCAAAGGACGGAGCACAAGUUUCACAGAAAAACAGCUCUUAUUUCUGAUGCUGCGAACACAGAGGAGUGACCUCAAUCUUCUUCAUCACUUGGGAAUUCUGCAAUUAUAGAGCACGACAUUGAGCAUGAACUAGAAAAAAUAUUUAUUUUCUACAAUUUUCAUAUAACCUGACUAACCAAGAUUAAUUUUGUGGUAAUGUAUUGGGUCAUUAAUUCAUAUGUUUUUACUGUCAUCACUUUAGAAAAAACUAAUUUCUCAAUGUGAAAUGGCCCAUAAAAAGUAUUCUCAUUUAAAAACUAAAUUUGACAAACCCCUCGAUUAAAGCAGGGGAGAGAAAAAAAAAAAAAAAGAUCUGAAGGCUUUCCACAUGAAAAUGUUGUCACUUUGGAUGAUAUUCUUCAAAUUGACAGCUCGCCCAGUACUAAACGCGUAUGAGAUCAGUACUGGGACAAGUAAGUCACUUUGGAUGAUAUUUUCAAGGGAUUUCAUUCUAAAAAUAAAAUACCUGGGACCUUAUUCUUCAAAUUGACAGCUCGCCCAGUACUAAACGCGUAU